GACGAACGCUGGCGGCGUGCUUAACACAUGCAAGUCGAACGGUGAAGCGCCUUCCUUUUUGGUGGGUGUGGAUGAGUGGCGAACGGGUGAGUAACACGUGAGUAACCUGCCCCCUUCUUCUGGAUAACCGCAUGAAAGUGUGGCUAAUACGGGAUAUUCUGGGUCUGUCGCAUGAUGGGUCUGGGAAAGAUAUUGUUUCGGUGGGGGAUGGGCUCGCGGCCUAUCAGCUUGUUGGUGGGGUGAUGGCCUACCAAGGCGGUGACGGGUAGCCGGCCUGAGAGGGUGGACGGUCACACUGGGACGGAGACACGGCCCAGACUCCGACGGGAGGCAGCAGUGAAGAUUAUUGAACAAUGGGAGGAAGCCUGAUGCAGCGACGCCGCGUGAGGGAUGGAGGCCUUCGGGUUGUGAACCUCUUUCGCCAGUGAAGCAGGCCUGCCUCGUUUGUGGGUGGGUUGACGGUAGCUGGAUAAGAAGCGCCGGCUAACUACGUG
rnacentral:rRNA from 1 species